GACGAACGCUGGCGGCGUGCCUAAUACAUGCAAGUUGAACGCUAAAGCUUUAACUGGUGCUUGCACCGACCUAAGUUUUUAGAGUAGCGGACGGGUGAGUAACACGUGGGUAACCUGCCCAUCAGAGGGGGAUAACACUUGGAAACAGGUGCUAAUACCGCAUAAUUCCUUUUACCGCAUGGUAAAAGGCUGAAAGGCGCUUCUGGUGUCACUGAUGGAUGGACCCGCGGUGCAUUAGCAAGUCGGUGGGGUAACGGCCUACCGAGGCGAUGAUGCAUAGCCGACCUGAGAGGGUGAUCGGCCACAUUGGGACUGAGACAUGCAAACCUGACG
rnacentral:rRNA from 1 species